UCCGCCAUGCAAUGGGAAGACGUGAUGUGGAGUGAAAUAUAGUAACGAAGCCCGUGAGCCAUGCGUCAAGAAAAGCCGCUAUUGUUUAUAUUGUACCCGUACCGUAAACCGACACAGGUGGAUGAGGAGAGAAUCCUAAGGCCGGCGGAAGAAGUAUUGCCAAGGAACUCGGCAAAAUGGCCCCGUAACUUAGGGAGAAGGGGUGCCUGCGAGAGCAGGCCGCAGAGAAUAGGCUCAAGCAACUGUUUAGCAAAAACACAGGUCUAUGCGAAACCGAAAGGUGAGGUAUAUGGGCUGACGCCUGCCCGGUGCUGGAAGGUUAAGAGGAGAGGUUAGACGCAAGUCGAAGCUUUGAAUUUAAGCCCCAGUAAACGGCGGCCGUAACGAUAACGGUCCUAAGGUAGCGAAAUUCCUUGUCGGGUAAGUUCCGACCCGCACGAAAGGCGUAAUGAUUUGAGCGCUGUCUCGGCAAUACAUCCGGUGAAAUUGAAGUGCCAGUGAAGAUGCUGGCUACCCGCGCCAGGACGGAAAGACCCCAUGGAGCUUUACUCCAGUUUGGCACUGGGGUCCGGUGUUGCAUGUACAGGAUAGGUGGGAGGCUGAGAGAUAGUGACGUCAGUUGCUAUGGAGCCGCUGUUGGGAUACCACCCUUGUGAUAUUGGGCUUCUAACCAGCCGCCGUGAACCGGCGGUGGGACAAUGCCAGGCGGGGAGUUUGACUGGGGCGGUCGCCUCCGAAAGGGUAUCGGAGGCGCCCAAAGGUUCCCUCAGAAUGGACGGAAACCAUUCGAAGAGUGCAAAGGCAGAAGGGAGCUUGACUGCGACACCGACGGGUGGAGCAGGUACGAAAGUAGGGCUUAGUGAUCCGGUGGUAUUAAGUGGGAAUGCCAUCGCUCAACGGAUAAAAGCUACCCUGGGAUAACAGGCUUAUCACUCCCAAGAGUUCACAUCGACGGAGUGGUUUGGCACCUCGAUGUCGGCUCAUCGCAUCCUGGGGCUGUAGUAGGUCCCAAGGGUUGGGCUGUUCGCCCAUUAAAGCGGUACGCGAGCUGGGUUCAGAACGUCGUGAGACAGUUCGGUCCCUAUCCGGCGUGGGCGUAGGAUAUCUGAGAGGAGCUGUCCUUAGUACGAGAGGACCGGGAUGGACGGACCGCUGGUGGACCGGUUGGCUUGCCAAAGCCAUGGCCGGGUAGCCAAGUCCGGAAGGGAUAAACGCUGAAGGCAUCUAAGCGUGAAGCCCCCCUCAAGAUGAGAUAUCCCAUUCUUUAAGAAGUAAACCCCCUUGAAGACGACGAGGUAGAUAGGGCAGAGGUGGAAGUGUGGUAACACAUGGAGCUGACUGUUACUAAUCGGGUGAGGGCUUGACCAG
rnacentral:rRNA from 1 species